UCCGGCGUGGUCUAGUGGCUAGGAUAGUUGUCUCUCAUUGCUCGGCAAUGCCGAAUAGGGGCACAAUUGGCCGGGGUUCGAUUCCCCGCACCGGAA
rfam:Exidia glandulosa HHB12029 unplaced genomic scaffold EXIGLscaffold_8, whole genome shotgun sequence.